rnacentral:lncRNA from 1 species
CAGCGGGAUCCAAUAACCCGCCUCGUACGUCACCGGAUCCUGGAGCCUUCGACACACCACCCUCGACGCAGAGGCAGGACGGUUGGGGACGAUGGUGAGUUCUCGCAGCCCUACGGUGCGUACGUGUCGGCGGUUUGGAACUUUGGUUCGAUUUGGUGAACUUGUGGACUACUGGAUGGUCGUGAUAUAUAUAUAUAUAUGUGAUGUUCGUGUAUACAUGAUGUUCGUGAUAUAUAUAUGUGAUGUUC